rnacentral:tRNA from 1 species
UCCCAUAUUGUCUAGUGGUUAGGAUACCCGGCUCUCACCCGGGAGGCCCGGGUUCAAUUCCCGGUAUGGAGG